rnacentral:rRNA from 1 species
AGUGAACGCUGGCGGUAGGCCUAACACAUGCAAGUCGAACGGCAGCACAGUAAGAGCUUGCUCUUACGGGUGGCGAGUGGCGGACGGGUGAGGAAUACAUCGGAAUCUACUUUUUCGUGGGGGAUAACGUAGGGAAACUUACGCUAAUACCGCAUACGACCUACGGGUGAAAGCAGGGGAUCUUCGGACCUUGCGCGAUUGAAUGAGCCGAUGUCGGGUUAGCUAGUUGGCGGGGUAAAGGCCCACCAAGGCGACGAUCCGUAGCUGGUCUGAGAGGAUGAUCAGCCACACUGGAACUGAGACACGGUCCAGACGCCUACGGGAGGCAGCAGUGGGGAAUAUUAGACAAUGGGCGCAAGCCUGAUCCAGCCAUACCGCGUGGGUGAAGAAGGCCUUCGGGUUGUAAAGCCCUUUUGUUGGGAAAGAAAAGCAGCAGGUUAAUACCCCGCUGUUCUGACGGUACCCAAAGAAUAAGCACCGGCUAACUUCGUG